rnacentral:rRNA from 1 species
GACGAACGCUGGCGGCGUGCUUAACACAUGCAAGUCGAACGGAAACGCCCUGCUUUUUUGCGCUUCUCGGUUGCCGAACGGGUGCGUAACACGUGAGUAUCCUACUCUUCUUUUUCGUAUAACUUCACGUAACUAGACUUACUCUCGUAUCGCAUCUCCCGCUCCAUUGAGAGCAUGGGAACUUCUCGGCUUUUGCGAUUGCAUUCGCCGAUGUCGGAUUAGCUAGUUGGGGGGGUGAUUGCCCACCAAGGCGACGAUCCGUAGCUGGUCUGAGAGGAUGAUCAGACACACUGGAACUGAGACACGGUCCAGACUCCUAAGGGAGGCAGCAGUGGGGAAUAUUGGACAAUGGGCGCAAGCCUGAUCCAGCCAUACCGCGUGGGUGAAGAAGGCCUUCGGGUUGUAAAGCCCUUUUGUUGGGAAAGAAAAGCAGCAGGUUAAUACCCCGCUGUUCUGACGGUACCAAAAGAAUAAGCACCGGCUAACUUCGUG